UAGAUUCGAAUUUAAAUAUUUAAGAAUUGGAGGCCAAGUAGUCAAUAUCGACACUGAAUGUCAGUGAAAGAGACCACUCACGCGAACUAGAUAAAUACAGUUUACCACAAAACUGGUUUUCAUUCAAAAUUCUGCAAAUGAUUGAGGUAUUGAGGUUUAAAUUUUCUGUAAUUUGGCGAAGGCAGAUGUUAGACUAGAAUUUAAAUAUUCAAGUUUUGGAGGCCAAGUAGUUUUUGGCAAAUUAUUGAGUUUUACAUUUUCUGUAAUUUGACGAAGGCAGAGCCUAGACUGGAAUUUAAGUAAUCAAUAAUUGGAAGCCAAGUAGUCACUAUAUGUGUACUAGAUGGAUACAGUUCAUAACAAAACUGGUUUUCUUUAAAAAUUCUCCAAAUUAUUAAGGUUUCAAUCUUCUGUAAUUUGGCGGGGGCAUAGAUUAGGUUCGAAUUCAAAUAUUCGAGAAUUGGAGACCAAGUAGUUUUUGACAAAUUACCAAAUUACCGAGUAUCAAAUUUUCUGUAAUUUGGCGAAGGCAGAGGUUAACUCGAAUUUAAAUAAUCAAGAAUUGGAAGCCAAGUAGUCAAUAUCGAUACUAUAUAUUUAGGAAAGAGACCAUAUACGCGUACUAGAUGGAUACAGUUCAUAACAAAACUGGUGUGUUCCUUCAAAAUUUUUAUAAAUUAUGGUAUUUUAAAUUAUCUGUAAUUUGGCGAAUGCAGAUGUUAGACUCCAAUUUAAAUAAUCAAGAAUUGGAGGCCAAGUAGUCAAUAUCGAUAUUAUAUAUCAGGAAUAGAGAUCAUUCACGCGCACUAGAUAGAAACAAGUCAUAACGAAAUUAGUUUUUAUUCAAAAUCUUGACCAAAUUAUUGAUUUUCAAAUUUUCUGUAAUUUGGCGACGGCAGAGGUUAGACUCGAUUUCAAAUAGCAGAGGUUAGACUCGAUUUCAAAUAUUCAAGAAUUGGAGGCCAAGUAGUCAAUCGACACUGAAUGUCAGUGAAAGAGACCAUUCACGCGUACUAGGUGGAUAUAGUUCAUAACAAAAUUGGUUUUCAUUAAAAAUUCUGCAAAUUAUUAAGGUUUGAAUUUUAUGUAAUUUGGCGAAGGCAGAGGUUCGACUAAAAUUUAAAUAUUCAAGAAUUGGAGGCCAAGUACUCAAUAUCGAUACUAUAUAUCGAGAAAAGAUACCAUUUCCGCUUACUAGAUAGGAACAGGUCAUAACGAAAUUGGUUUUCAUU